AAUCAACGCUGGCGGCGUGCCUAACACAUGCAAGUCGAACGCGAAAGGGGCUUCGGCCCCGAUUGAGUGGCGAACGGGUGAGUAACGCGUGGGUGACCUACCUUCGAGUGGGGGAUAACGUCCCGAAAGGGACGCUAAUACCGCAUAACAUCCUGCUUUUGAAUGGGUGGAGAUCAAAGCCGGGGAUCGCAAGACCUGGCGCUUGAUGAGGGGCCCGCGUCUGAUUAGCUAGUUGGAGUAACGGCCACCAAGCAACGAUCAGUAUCCGGCCUGAGAGGGCGGACGGACACACUGGGACUGAGACACGGCCCAGACUCCUACGGGAGCAGCAGUGGGGAAUUGUUCGC
rnacentral:rRNA from 1 species